ensembl:snoRNA
GUGCACAGUGAACACCCAGGGAUGCUGCUGUGGCUCUCCCUGGUCUCCUGUAUCUGUGCAACAGUAACUCUGAUCUGUACCUCUGCAUUAGAAGAAUGUUCUUCUCUCCUACAUGUAUUCAACAGAUCAGAACAAUU